GAUGAACGCUGGCGGCGUGCCUAACACAUGCAAGUCGAGCGUGAUUGUUGAGAGUGGAGACUUCGGUCAAAGUGAUCAACAUGAAAGCGGCGGACGGGUGAGUAACGCGUAGGCAACCUGCCCCAUACAUGAGGAUAGCCACUGGAAACGGUGAUUAAUACUCAAUAAGACCACGUUGGCGCAUGCCGGAGUGGCCAAAGAUUUAUCGGUAUGGGAUGGGCCUGCGUCUGAUUAGCUAGUUGGUGAGGUAACGGCUCACCAAGGCGACGAUCAGUAACCGACCUGAGAGGGCGAACGGUCACACUGGAACUGAGACACGGUCCAGACUCCUACGGGAGGCAGCAGUGGGGAAUAUUGCACAAUGGGCGCAAGCCUGAUGCAGCAACGCCGCGUGAGUGAAGAAGGCCUUCGGGUCGUAAAGCUCUGUCCUGUGGGACGAAACAAAUGACGGUACCACAGGAGGAAGCCCCGACUAACUACGUGCCAGCCGCCGCCGUAA
rnacentral:rRNA from 1 species